rnacentral:rRNA from 1 species
CCUACGGGUGACAGCAGUGAGGAAUAUUGGUCAAUGGCCGGAAGGCUGAACCAGCCAUGCAGCGUGAAGGUCAGUGCCCUAUGGGCGUUAAACUUCUUUUGUGCGGGAGCAAUAAUGGUCACGUGUGGCCAGACGAGAGUACCGUACGAAUAAGCAUCGGCUAACUCCGUGCCAGCAGCCGCGGUAAUACGGGGGAUGCAAGCGUUAUCCGGAUUUAUUGGGGUUAAAGGGUGCGUAGGCUGUGAGGUAAGUCAGCGGUGAAAUGCCCCCGCUCAACGGGGUGAAGUGCCAUGGAUACUGCCUUGCUGGAAUGCGGAUGCCGGGGGAGGAAUGUGUGGUGUAGCGGUGAAAUGCAUAGAUAUCACACAGAACACCGAUUGCGAAGGCAUCUCACGAAUCCGCGAUUGACGCUGAUGCACGAAAGCGUGGGUAUCAAACAGGAUUAGAUACCCCAGUAGUC